rnacentral:rRNA from 1 species
ACUCAAAUGAAUAGACGGGGGCCCGCACAAGCAGUGGAGUAUGUGGUUUAAUUCGAAGCAACGCGAAGAACCUUACCAGGUCUUGACAUCCAUGGAAGGCGCAAGAGAUUGUGCCGUGCCUUUCGGGGAGCCAUGAGACAGGUGGUGCAUGGUUGUCGUCAGCUCGUGUCGUGAGAUGUUGGGUUAAGUCCCGCAACGAGCGCAACCCUUGCCAUUAGUUGCUACGCAAGAGCACUCUAAUGGGACCGCCGCCGACAAGGCGGAGGAAGGCGGGGAUGACGUCAAAUCAUCAUGCCCCUUAUGACCUGGGCUACACACGUACUACAAUGGCCGCCAACAACGGGAAGCAAAGCUGUGAAGUGGAGCAAAUCCCCAAAAGCGGUCUCAGUUCAGAUCGCAGGCUGCAACCCGCCUGCGUGAAGUCGGAAUUGCUAGUAAUCGCGGAUCAGCAUGCCGCGGUGAAUACGUUCCCGGGCCUUGUACACACCGCCCGU